rnacentral:rRNA from 1 species
GCUCGUAGUUGGAUUUUGGGACGUGCAUUCACAUUCAUAAAGGUGUAAAAGCCUGUGGAAGCGUCUUACUGCUCUAUUGGCGCUAAGUCACCUUCACGGGUGGUUUGGUGUCAAGGUAGUUUGGCGUUGCGGGCUCGGUCCAUCAGUGUGCCUCGCAAGGGGCCUCCAUUGGUGUGUUAACCGGCCCGCCCGUCCCCUCCUUCUGGAUUCCCGUUCCUGCUAUUGAUUUAGUGGGAACGUCACAGGGGGUCAGUCGUGUAAAAAGCGGCUGGUCUCUGGGGCCCAGAUCGUUUACCGUGAAAAAAUUAGAGUGUUCAAAGCGGGCAGAUAUUUUUCCUGCCACCGAAUACAUUAGCAUGGGAUAAUGGAAUAGGACCCUGACCUCCUAUUUUCAGUUGGUUUUGUUUACAGCGAGGUUAUAUCAGGGUAAUGAUUAAUAGGGAUAGUUGGGGGCAUUAAUAUUUAAUUGUCAGAGGUGAAAUUCUUGGAUUUAUGAAAGAUUAACUUCUGCGAAAGCGUUUGCCAAGGAUGUUUUCAUUAAUCAAGAACGAAAGUUAGGGGAUCGAAGACGAUCAGAUACCGUCGUAGUCUUAACCAUAAACGAUGCCGACCAGCGAUUAGGAGACGUUGAAUACAAAACACCGCCGUUAAUCCUUUCGGGGGUUAAUGGUUGGUGAAUGACUCCCCUAGCAGCUUGUGAGAAAUCAUAAGUCUUUGGGUUCCGGGGGGAGUAUGGUCGCAAGGCUGAAACUUAAAGGAAUUGACGGAAGGGCACCACCAGGAGUGGAGCCUGCGGCUUAAUUUGACUCAACACGGGGAAACUUACCAGGUCCGGACAUAGU